rfam:TPA: Bos taurus chromosome 13, whole genome shotgun sequence.
GCUGAAAUAGCUAAGUUGGGAGAGUGUUAGAGUGAAGAUCUGAAGGUCCCCAGUUUGAUCCUGGGUUUUGGCA